ACGACUCUCGGCAACGGAUAUCUCGGCUCACGCAUCGAUGAAGAACGUAGCAAAAUGCGAUACUUGGUGUGAAUUGCAGAAUCCCGUGAACCAUCGAGUUUUUGAACGCAAGUUGCGCCCAAAGCCAUCCGGCCGAGGGCACGCCUGCCUGGGCGUCA
rnacentral:rRNA from 1 species